rnacentral:misc_RNA from 1 species
UAGACCAAAUGAUUUCUGCACUAGCAACUGUACUCAAUUUUGGAGACCACGUGCCAGGUGUGCAUGAUCCUUGCAUGUCGUCAAAAACCUAACCCUUUCAUUAGGCUUCAAACUCUGUGGAAGAUAUCAUAAAACAAUUGUACACAAAUAAAAUGAAGGGAGCAGAAAUUAAAAAACGUAAGGUUUCUAAAAAGACAAAAAAAUCCUGGAGAAAACAUGUCGACAAUAGAGAUGUGGAUCAGUUUUUGGACAACAAACGGUUAGAAGAACGUCUCGGUGCACCUUUUUCACGGAGAUCAGAUUCUGAGUUGUUUGCCAUUGAUAAAAUCCCAGAAAGUAAGUCCAGACUCACCACCAAACAACAGAAAAGGCUUGCUCUCCAAGCAAAAGAACCUGUUUGCUUCGCUCUCCUGAAACCGCACACGGCUGUUCCUGACCCCAUCGCCAAGAGGAAUAGAGUUAAGACUCCGGAAGAACGUAAGAACCCUAUAACUAGGCGUAUUCAAAAAACUAAGAGAUUGAAUGGUGAUUUGAAACUAAAAGAAAGAAAUGCAAUCAGAGACAGGGAACUGGCUGAUAAAAAAAGAUCUAAUAAACCAAAGAUCGACCAAUUUGAUAAAGAUAUAUGGCAAGAAGAAAAAAAGCUCCAUAUAGAUGUACAGAGCGAAUGGCUUACUUCAGAUACCAUUCGUCACACUUUGGCUAACACUGGACAAAAACAGAAGAGAAUUCCUUUAUCUCUGCAUAAAAAGACGUCUGUAGUACCAGCAGUCGAAGCUCCUCACCCUGGUAUCUCAUACAAUCCGUCAUAUACUGAUCACCAAGACUUGUUGGCAAAUGUUGCUAAGCAAGAACUAGAAUUAAUGAAAAAAGAAGCGCAUUUAAAUAGAGUAACAACCAAGAUGUUUAAAAAGAUAUCAGUUGAGAAAAAAGGUGAAAGCUGGAUACACGAAAUGUCUGAGGGAUUACCAACAAAGUCCAGUAAGCAAGAGCAAGCUUCUGGUAUGGAGGAUCAGGAUUCCGAUGUUAAAUCAGUAAAUCCACCGGUAAAGAAUGUGAAGAAAACUCUGAUUAAACGGCGAAAGCAGAAGGAGCAGCGAAAGCUUGCACUAGAACGAAAACAAGCCAAGGUUGAGAAGAAAAAAGUAUCAGAUAUAUAUAAGCUCAAAUCACUAGCGAAACAAAUCGCAGCUAAAGAAGCAAAGGAAGAGAAAUUAAGAAAAAAGCGAGAUAAAGUAAAAGCAUUGAAGAUAACUGAGCCUAAAAUGCUCAGCAAGACCAAAUUUGAAGCUCCAGAACCUGACUUUGAACUUGCUGAAGAUCUUACUGGUAAUUUAAGAAAGGCCAAACCAGUAGGUAAUUUACUUAAAGAUCGAUUCAAGUCCCUCCAGCAUAGAAAUAUCCUUGCGCCAGCUACUAGAGUUAUGAAACGCAAUAAGGCAAAGGUCAAGAAAUUCGAAAAAGCGACACAUAAAAUGGGUUGGGAAGACACUUUCAAAUAAUAAAAUUGUCCCUAACGAUGACACGACUCAUUUAAUUAUUUCCACCGUGAAUACAUCUACACUAGAUUUUCUGUCUCCAACUCUUCCUCUUCAACUGCUUCAACCGGACCUAACUUCUGCCCUUGUUUCUCAUCUUCACUUUCACUAUCGAAAGAUGGGGUUG